ACAGCCCAAGGGAAGUAGGAGAGCAGCGGGGAGAGUUUCCCAUAGGGAGACGGAGAGCGGAAAAUGGGUUGGGCGAUCGCACUACACGGAGGCGCGGGUGAUAUAUCACUUUCGAUGCCACCUGAACGACGUCUUCCUCGCGAGGCCGCUCUGCGCCACUGCCUCCGGAUCGGUGUUGACGCUCUCCAAACCCAAAAGCAUCCUCUCGAUGUUGUCGAACUCGUGGUCCGUGAAUUAGAAAACCAUCCCAACUUUAAUGCUGGUAAGGGAUCUGUCUUAACCACUGUGGGCACAGUCGAGAUGGAGGCUUGCAUUAUGGACGGGAAAAAAAAUUGUGGAGCUGUUUCUGGGCUCACCACUGUUGUCAAUCCUGUAUCAUUAGCACGAUUGGUCAUGGAAAAGACUCCUCACAUAUAUCUUGCUUUUGAAGGUGCUGAGUAUUUUGCAAGGGAACAGGGUGUUGAGACUGUUAAUUCGAGUCAUUUUGUGACUCCUGAAAAUGUUGAGAGGCUAAAACAGGCAAAAGAAGCUAACAGAGUGCAGAUUGAUUAUACACAACCCAUUCAAAAAGAUGGGAAAACUGAAAAUCCAAUUGCUGAUCGUGAUGGAGAUAGCCAAAUUGGAACUGUCGGAUGUGUGGCUGUUGACGGGAAUGGGAACUUGGCUGCUGCAACUUCUACUGGUGGAUUGGUAAACAAAAUGGUGGGUAGGAUUGGGGACACACCCAUAAUAGGUGCAGGGACAUAUGCCAACAGUCUCUGUGCAGUUUCUGCAACAGGCAAAGGAGAAUCAAUCAUUCGCGGUACUGUAGCUAGGGAUGUGGCUGCUCUUAUGGAGUUCAAAGGUCUUUCUCUCCGGGAAGCAGCAGCUUAUGUCGUUGAGGAGUGUGUUCCAAAAGGCAAGGUUGGGUUGGUAGCUGUGUCUGCUAGUGGAGAAGUUACCAUGCCCUUUAAUACAACUGGCAUGUUUCGUGCUUGUGCUACCGAAGAUGGGUAUUCUGAAAUUGCAAUAUGGCCUUCUGUGCAAGAAUGAGUAGUAUUAACAUUUGCUCAAGUCUUUUAAAAUUCUGGAAUUUGCUUAAAAAUGUGUAAUGAAUAAUGUUGAGUGCUUUCAGACUACUCGCUCCUGUAAUGCUUGAAAAUAAGAGCUUAAUUGUUCACGUGUUUUUAUGAUAUCUGCUGAAAUCUACAUUAAUAUCAUCGCAUUAAAAAUUAGUUUCAUGAUCUAUCCACUAGAGGAAAUGUAAAAUUGCUGGUUAUUCAUAGUUUGAGAGUACCCA
rnacentral:misc_RNA from 1 species